AAGAGCGCCAAAUUUGAGGGAUUUAUUAACAAGGAGCCACUUUCAGAGACCCACAAGAUCUUUAGGCUGGGGUUUCAAAUAUCAUGGAUCAUAUCCGUGUGGAGAUUGUACUGCCUGUCAGUUUAUGACACCCAAGCAGGAAUUUACCAAUCCACGAAAUGGAAAAAGUUACCAUCUAAAAAAUUACAUUAAUUGUAAAACAUCACAGGUCAUAUAUACCAUCAUUUGCCCUUGUGGUAAAUUGUAUGUGGGGCAAACAGGACAACAGCUUAGAAAAAGAAUACAGAAGCAUCUAUCCACCAUAGCAUUGGCUCGUCGGGAUAAAGACAGAUUCAAAACCCUGACAACCGUGGCAAACCACUUUCUAGAACAUCAUGGAGGACGUUCAUAUGGCUUACAGGUUGUCGGCCUGGAAAGAGUUACGACAAAUAUGAGAGGAGGACCCAUUACCCAAAGACUGCUACAAGUAGAAUCCAAAUGGAUUUUCGAAUUGGGAACAGUGUUUCCAUGGGGCAUGAAUGAGGACCUACUGUUUACUGGCUUCUUGGGUCGACGAUCAUUUAGGCAUCUUCUAGUAGGGAUGAUUUGAAGCAUUAUCCAGUUCACAUGUCAGUCAAUCUAAACAGAUUAUGCUGAUCCUGAGUUAUUGUACUUACCUCCUGUUGUUCGAACACUUGCUGAGUCUCAAAUAUCGGGUGUGAUGUGGAUUCUAGGAAGAUGAUAAAAAG